rnacentral:rRNA from 1 species
GAUGAACGCUGGCGGCGUGCCUAAUACAUGCAAGUCGAGCGGCAGCACGGUCUUCGGACUGGUGGCGAGCGGCGGACGGCUGAGUAACGCGUAGGAACAUGCCCCAAAGUGAGGAAUAACUGCCCGAAAGGGUGGCUAAUGCCGCAUGUGGUCUUCGGACUAAAGCUUUAUGCGCUUUGGGAGUGGCCUGCGUCCGAUUAGCUUGUUGGUGAGGUAAUGGCUCACCAAGGCGACGAUCGGUAGCUGGUCUGAGAGGAUGAUCAGCCAGACUGGAACUGAGAACGGUCCAGACUCCUACGGGAGGCAGCAGUAGGGAAUUUUCCACAAUGGGCGAGAGCCUGAUGGAGCAACGCCGCGUGCAGGAUGAAUGCCUUCGGGUUGUAAACUGCUUUUAUGUGCGAAGAAUUUGACUGUAACACAUGAAUAAGGAUCGGCUAACUACGUG